CCACGACUGUCCCGGGGCUCCCCCUUCUCUCGCCCGUGUCUCUCCAGCCCUCCCUCACCCCACGUUCCAGCGCCGGGCCUGUCUGCGUCGGGACGUGGCUCGGAUUGUGGCCCGGAUCGUGGCCCGGAUCCCUCCCAGCCUCUGGAGAGUACAGUGACUGUAUCUCUGAGCAUCUGGUGGAAUUGGCCUGAGGUGCCAAUGCCUCGGCAUUAGAGAAAGAGAUUGGUCCAGAACAGUAUCCAGUCAAUGAGCACUAUUUUGGAUUAGUCAAUG